rnacentral:rRNA from 1 species
UACGUAGGUGACCAGCGUUGUCCGGAUUUACUGGGCGUAAAGAGCGCGCAGGCGGUCGUUCAAGUCGAGUGUGAAAGCCCCCGGCUCAACUGGGGAGGGUCACUCGAUACUGAUCGACUUGAAGGCAGGAGAGGGAAGCGGAAUUCCCGGUGUAGUGGUGAAAUGCGUAGAUAUCGGGAGGAACACCAGUGGCGAAGGCGGCUCACUGGCUCGAUACUGACGCUGAGGUGCGAAAGCGUGGGGAGCAAACAGG